CCUACGGGGGGCAGCAGUGAGGAAUAUUGGUCAAUGGCCGUAAGGCUGAACCAGCCAAGUCGCGUGAAGGAAGAAGGAUCUAUGGUUUGUAAACUUCUUUUAUAGGGGAAUAAAGGUAUCCACGUGUGGAUAUUUGCAUGUACCCUAUGAAUAAGCAUCGGCUAACUCCGUGCCAGCAGCCGCGGUAAUACGGAGGAUGCGAGCGUUAUCCGGAUUUGUUGGGUUUAAAGGGUGCGUAGGUUGUUUUUUAAGUCAGCGGUGAAAGUUUGUGGCUCAACCAUAAAAUUGCCGUUGAAACUGGAAGGCUUGAGUGUGGUAGAGGUAGGCGGAAUGCGUGGUGUAGCGGUGAAAUGCAUAGAUAUCACGAAGAACUCCGAUUGCGAAGGCAGCUUACUGAGCCAUAACUGACACUGAGGCACGAAAGCGUGGGGAUCAAACAGGAUUAGAUACCCUUGUAGUC
rnacentral:rRNA from 1 species